GCAAUAUUGAAAAAAUAAUAUUAAAUAGGCAAGUUUUGGAAGAGGUACAAUGGAAUUCCUCCGGUUGUUCACGGUAAUAAUAUGUUCCUCAGGAGUUGUUUAUUCAAUCUGUCCCAACGAUCUACAACGGCAAAGUCUGGAAGGGACGAUAAGCUAUCACGGUGCGGAUAAAAAUGACAAUUGUGUCUGGACUCUGCCAUGGGUCUCGAAUGAGGAAUUUUUGCUGACCUUGCAGAUAACAAGGAUACAACUGCAAAAACCAGAUAAAAGGUGUUAUGGGGAGAUCCAAAUCGGUAUUUAUUCAGGAUUUAAUCCACCGUUAUGCAAGAAUGAUGAACCCAAACGAUGCCACGUAUACAGGAAGACUGGUAACGCAAGAUGCCAAAAUACAACACCAGAUUCGAUGAACUGUAGUCAUUUCCGAUCGC